GAUGAACGCUAGCGAUAGGCUUAACACAUGCAAGUCGAGGGGCAGCAUGGUCUUAGCUUGCUAAGGCUGAUGGCGACCGGCGCACGGGUGCGUAACGCGUAUGCAACUUGCCUCACAGAGGGGGAUAACCCGUCGAAAGACGGACUAAUACCGCGUACACUCUAUGUUGGGCAUCCAAUGUAGAGGAAAUGAAAUUCGCUGUGAGAUAGGCAUGCGUCCCAUUAGCUAGUUGGUGAGGUAACGGCUCGCCAAGGCGACGAUGGGUAGGGGAACUGAGAGGUUGAACCCUCACACUGGUACUGAGACACGGACCAGACUCCUACGGGAGGCAGCAGUGAGGAAUAUUGGUCAAUGGGCGAGAGCCUGAACCAGCCAAGUCGCGUGAAGGAUGACUGUCUUAUGGAUUGUAAACUUCUUUUAUACGGGAAUAACAAGAGUCACGUGUGGCUCCCUGCAUGUACCGUAUGAAUAAGCAUCGGCUAACUCCGUG
rnacentral:rRNA from 1 species